CUCCACAGAAUCUUAUUUUCCUUUUCACUAGCACUCAAACAUACGUCUUCUCCAAAUGCGAGUUAGCAGAGGAAUACCUCUUAAACCCAGGAACAACAGGAUGGAACAUGUGGGGCCAGGAUUUUCCAGGACUGCCUGAGGGUCAUCUGGACGUUUCUGCAUGGUAAGUCCACCUGUCAUCCAGUGGCCACUUUCGACCAGGGCUGAAUGUGCAAUGCUGAAAGAAGGGGAGGGCACAAUGCUUUGGGAGGCAAACACAAGGUUUCCUCCCCACUGCCCUUCAUUAGAUCCUGCCGCUGCCCAGGCUGUCCCUAACAAUCACUGUGGGUAUAAUUUUAGAAAGAACUGGAAGAAGGAAAACCGUUACUGCAACUUUCAGUUGGCAGACUACAUCACCGUGUUUCUGCCUCCUGGCUCUUCUACCCCACAUGCCUUGGAAAGGAGAGAAAGGGAAACAGCUAGAAGAGGAGGAAGAACAGGAAAAAGAAGGAACAGCUCAGGACUCCGUUCUCCAGAUCUGCCAGUGAUGAGAAGAAGCAGCUGUAGUAGCAGUUCACAGCAUGGAGGGGUUGCUCUGAUCUCAUUUCGGGAAUAAGUUUGCUUGCUAAGAGGUGAGGACAGGAGACCUGUGGGAAGGAAGUGAGCUCUGACUCUCUGUCCAGUAUCAUCAGACACUGCUUCUGCUGUCAUUUCCAUCACCCUGCACAUGAGACAUGAGGAACUGAACACGCGGUAGGAAGAGCCUGAACAGAUCAUGCAAAGCAGCACAUCCUCCAGUUGCUCGAAGGGACACUGUGGAACAUGGAGCUGGAAUGCCGUGGGUUUGAGGAAAGACUCGAGAGAGAGAGAGAAGUUGAGGGGGAACAGGGAUAUCAGGCAGACUCCAAGCAGAUGACUUGUGCCAAGUGAGAUGGCUGGCAGGAGGAUGAAUGCAAAGCUGGAAAGUCAGGAGGAGAUGUACACACAGCAUUUAGUUCUUUUCUGAUUUAAUCCAAAAUCCUUUGCUGUUUGCCUUUUUUCAUAAUGUCCUCGUUCUCAGGUCAUGUGAUUAAGUGAGACUUUCAGCCUUCAAUUAAAAAUAAUUCUACUGGUUCUUCAGGUCACAGAGAAAAGCUUGCAACAGACAACCCCACUGGAAAGGCUGAAAGCCCAGGGUGCAGCCUGAAUCCCUUUGAGAUAAUCCGUUGCCUUCCUAUUGGUGGUUGCUGUAUUGUGGUUUUUUGAAGUCACCAAGACCCAGUCAGAGCUGCAGCACAUAUUUGGGUUUUUAGGCCAUGUAUUUUACCCCAAAUGUGGUAGAUCUGUGGGAGGAAGAUGGAACAGCCCAGAAAUGGCAUCAUUUUGACACAUGGAAGACAGUGAUUCAGAUAUUUCACAGGUACAUGGACUUCUGCAAAUAUGCAGCUCAUGAAAAACUUGGCAAUGUUUAAAGAAGCAGUUUGAUAGUGUCAGUCCCAUUAUCAUCAUGCCAACUGGUCAUUUUGUUUUGCCACAUAAGCAGAGGGUUCAAGCACUUGAUUGGCCUAACAAAACUUAACUGUCAUCUAAGGAAGUCAGAUUUGAGGAAGAAAUAUUGUAUAUGAACAUAUAUAGAC
rnacentral:lncRNA from 1 species